UACGUAGGGGGCUAGCGUUGUCCGGAUUUAUUGGGCGUAAAGAGCGUGUAGGCGGCCAUGUAGGUCCGGUGUGAAAACUCGAGGCUUAACCUCGAGAUGUCAUCGGAAACCAUUUGGCUAGAGUCCGGAAGAGGAGAGUGGAAUUCCUGGUCGUAGAGGUGAAAUUCGUAGAUAUUCGCAAGAACACCAGUGGCGAAGGCGGCUCACUGGCCCGGUACUGACGCUGAGGUGCGAAAGCGUGGGGAGCAAACAGG
rnacentral:rRNA from 1 species